CAAGUCCUCAGCCCACCCUUCAAGGCCAUCAGGACCCACCCCAUCAGCCUCCUCACCAGAGCUUCUUCACCCAGUGUGUAGGCAACUGCGGAGUCCUCACUGCUCCCCAACUGUCAGGCACACAUGCGGACUGACAGGCAUUUGCACAUGCGUUCCCCAGUCUAGAUGCCCUUCCAUUCCACCCACCCCUUGUCCCAUGUCACUUCAAAGCCAACUCCAGGAUUCCUUCAUGCAGAUAGGACCUGAGGGGGCUGCUGAUGUGCCAGGUGUUGUGCAAGGGCCCCAUGCUUUCCCAAACCCGGCGCCCCGCCUCCCUCCUGGACUCAUCUGGCCCUGCCCUUUCACCCAGUGGUUCACGAUUCUGAGUGUCUGCCUUCUUCCCCGGGGUGGAAGCCCCUCGAGGGCAGGGACUGGGUCUGGUUCAUCGGGGGUCCCUGUCCCCACACCUGGCACGGCGUUACCGGUUGUGCAAUGCAUGUCAGAAUCAGGCCAAGGAGGAGAGGGGCUAUUGAAAGGAGACUCCCUUGGAGGCCCACACUGGGAGAAAGCUCAAGCAGUUGAUUGGCCGGCUCCACUGACUGGUGUCCAGAUGGGGGAGUUCAUGAAACCCCCAGAAGGUGGUGGUGGUGCAGGUCCUGGCCAGACACUACAGCAGUCAUUGUGAAGAACAUUGACGAUGGCACCUCAGACCAUCCCUACAGCCAAGCUCUGGUGGCUGCAAUUGACUGCUAUUCCCACGAAGUGACAGCUGCCAUGGGUAAGAAGAAAAUCACCAAGAGGUCAAAGAUCAAAUCUUUUGUGAAAGUUUAUAACUACAGUCACUUCAUGCUCACAAGGUACUCUAUGGAUAUCCCCUUGGACACAACUGUCAUCAAUAAGGAUGUCUCCGGAGACCCUGCUCCUAAACACAAGGCCUGGCAAGAAGCCAAGGUCAAGUUCAAGGAGAGUAGGAGACUGGCAAGAACAAAUGGUUCUUAUAGAAGCUGUGGUUUUUGAUCUGUCUUGUUUCAGUCAUUAAAAAUACAUUUAAAAAGGGUAAAUAUUAAUACAGGUAGUAACAAGAUAUGGCAAAAAUUGAGAUGGUGGUAUGAGAAUAACCAGUUAGGAAAUAAUUCAAGGAAAGGCCUGUUUAAUGAAUAACCAGCCAGCAUCCACCACUAACAAUCCCCAGCAAACAAGAACAAUACAGAGAAGGGAGAUUAAAAAGCAAGAGGGGUACCUAGGUGUCGCAGUCGGUUAAGCGGUUAAGCUUCUGACUCUUGAUUUUGGCUCAGGUCAUGAUCUCAGGAUUGUGAGAUCAAGGCCCACAUUGUGCUCCAUGCUGGGUGCAGAGUCUGCUUGUCUCCCUUUCUUUCUGCCCCUCCCCUGCUCUAAUAAUUUUUAAAAAGGUGAGAAAGAACCACUUUCUAAAGAAUUUGAGUGAUCUUUUUCUUUUUAAAGAUUUUAUUUAUUUAUUUGAGAGUAGGAGAGUGAGAGAGCACUGGCAAGGGGAAAAGAAGGCUCCCUGCUGAGUGGGGAGCCCAACAUGGGGUUUAAUCCCAGGAGCCGGGGAUCAUGACCUGAGACGAAAGCAAACACUUAACCAACUGAGCCACCCGGGUGCUCUGGAGUGAUCUUUUUCAAAAGGACCAGAAUUUCUACUCAGGGCAUUGGUGUCUAGAGGAAAUCACUCCUUAUGUUGGCCCAGGGCGGAAACCUGGGUGUCUACUUGCCCAUCUGGCCACUUUCCGCAUGCCCUAAAAUGAAGUCUGCAGAUUGGUCUCCCCAACUCAGGAAGAAUAAGAACAAAUUAAAAGCAUUUUCAGACAUGCAAAGAUUCAGAAGGCUUUCCUUCCAUGCAUCCCCUUUAAAAAUGUUAUUUGAAGAUAUACUCCAGCAAAACAGAGACAAAACCCAAGAAAGAGAGACCAGAUUCACCCAACAGAAGAACUGACCCACAAGUGUAAUGAAUAGAAAUGCCAGAGGUCCAUAAAGCCAUCAGUCAAAAUUAGAACAGGAAGUCAGAGGGUUUGGAGAAAAGUGUCUUCAAGAAGAAAAUGGGCUUCAUUCAACAAAUAAUGUAAUUAAGAAACUGGGAGAUUUUAAUGACCUAAUUAAAAAGACAUAUGUUUCUUUUCUCAAGAAGAAAAGAGUAAAGCAAUGAGAAACUCCAGGAGAGCAAGAACUUGUAUGAGAAGGCCUUGGUCCAAAUAUGAAGUGAAUUAAAACAUAACAUGACUUUGAAUGUUGAGGGAGUGUAGGAAAAUACAUUUGCACUUAAAGCCGGGAGCAUUUCCCUUCAGGCAGCAUUGAAAAUCAUAAGAUUAUAGUUCCUUCUCUACGGGUCCCUGGAUGCUAGUUAGCUCUGUGGAGAAUAAUGUUUACAUAAUCAUAAUAUGUUUAAAAAACACUUCAUUUAUUUUCAAUUUUUGAAAUUCAGAGAUGGACAACACACAAACACCAGAACAUUUUCACUGUGGAGACAGAACUAGAUUCACAUGUAGUGGUUUAGCAAGAAGAUUUAGGAGGGGGGAGGGCACGUAUGAUAAAGGAUGUCUCAUCUUACACAGCAGGAGUCAGGAGCUAUUUCAUAAAAUUAAUGGCAUGAGAAAGAAGAGCUGGCAAUGGGUAUCUAACCAAACUCUGGAGGGAAGGUACCUUUGCUAAACUUCUCAUCUUUCACAGUUGGGCACGGUGCCAGACACUGUUAGCUCAGGAGCCACCUGCCCUCCCACCAGGUACAUGGCUACCCAGAGAGACAGCCUAUCCCUCAGGCUCCCUUGCAGCUACAUGGGAUCAGCUGGUCCACUUCAGGCCAAGCAGCCUGGCGCUAGAACCUGUGCUCAUGACCAGGAUACUCUUCCACCCAAGCAGAAUUCUGGCUUCCUGAUGAUUGCAGAGCCACCUGGCCAGCUCUGGAUGGCCUGUGGAGAAAAGGAAACUUCCAUCUUCUAAGACAUUGUCAUUUGGGAGUCUUUGUUGCAGUAGCUAUAUUCUAAUACAGAAGUCCAUAGCUCCUCUACGUAAUUUAAAAGAAUGAUUUUACUCUAUUUUGUUAUGAGUGGUUUGAAUCUAUUAUAAGAAAAAAAUGUACUUUUUAUUCAUCUCAAAUGUGUUUUAAUUGGAGGGCAUGGACGCCAAUCAGUCCAUAUCACAACCUUGCUUAAACCCAUCAGGGACCCCACUGCCUUUGGGAUGGAGUCCAAGCUCCUCAGCCUAGAUUCAGGCCAGCCCUUCACCUGCCUUUCUAUUUCUUACUGCUCUUCUUCACAGGAGAACCCUUGGGCCCCACUAAUUAUUUACUGUGGACCCAGAACGGACCUUUGGCCAUGCCCACUCCUCACCUUUGCUCAUGUCAACCCCUCUGCCUGGAGUCCCAAUUUUUCUUCCUCUCCCACCUCUGCCCAAGAUCUCCCACUCAAAGCUCAUCUUCGAACUCCUAUUCAUCCCUCAAAGCCCAGCCCAAGUUGCCUCUGGAACAUUUUUCUGUUUAUCUUGGUCUUUCUCUGUCCUGUUAAAGAUUUUCCUCAAAUGUCUGGUGAUUCAGAUCAUAGUUAAAUGAAACGAAACAAAAGUA